rnacentral:rRNA from 1 species
GCAGGUCAUGCGUGAGAAUUUGACGGGACCAGUUGAAUAAGCCACGGCUAACUACGUGCCAGCAGCCGCGGUAAUACGUAGGUGGCGAGCGUUAUCCGGAUUUAUUGGGUUUAAAGGGAGCGUAGGCGGCUGAUUAAGUCAGCGGUGAAAGGUAGCAGCUUAACUGUUUUACAUGCCGUUGAUACUGGUUAGCUUGAGUUGACAGAAGGCAGAUAGAAUUCCUGAUGUAGCGGUGAAAUGCUUAGAUAUCAGGAGGAAUACCGAUUGCGAAGGCAGUCUGCUGCAGUCACACUGACGCUGAGGCUCGAAGGUGCGGGGAUCAAACAGGAUUAGAUACCCUGGUAGUCCGCACAGUAAACGAUGAUUACUAGAUGUUGGCGAUGCCAGUGUCCAAGGGAAACCGAUAAGUAAUCCACCUGGGGAGUACGCCGGCAACGGUGAAACUCAAAUGAAUUGACG